UGUUGAAACCAAGGGCCGCUGCUUCCAGACUCCUGAAUAGCCAUGCCAUUGGACAUGUGUCGCAUCCUCGUUUUCAUGGUUGCCAUUAUCAUCAGUGAGUGUAAACCAAAGCAAACAGAUCGGCCUUGCACUGCAGCAUGCAAUGCUAUGGAUGUGCGCUACCCGAGUGGCAUGAGGUACACCUACAGGUACAGCACCAUAGUAACCAGCUCACUUCAGAGUUCAGCCUCAGACAGCAGUGGACUGGCUCUUGACUGUCUGAUUGACAUUGACGUCCUUUCCGGGUGCCUGCUGAUG